CGGGAGGCCCGGGGAUGAGGGAAGCCGAGAACCGGAAGUGAAGGCAGAUUCCCUCUUUCGUCGCUGUUGCCGCCGCCAUAUGCGCUCGCCUUGCUCAGCUCUUCUAUCACAAACUAGGGUUUUUUUUUUUUUUUUUUUUUUUUUUAAACUGUUGCUCAAGCCCCCACUUUCCUUCCUUGUUUUCACUUACUCUGCGUGAAUCCAUCCAGAGACCCCUCCCCUUCUCCCCCUGCCGGCCCAGUUAUGGCAGAGAACGAUGUGGACAAUGAGCUCUUGGACUAUGAAGAAGAUGAGGUGGAGACAGCAGCUGGGGGAGAUGGGGCUGAGGCCCCUGCCAAGAAGGAUGUGAAGGGCUCCUAUGUCUCCAUCCACAGCUCUGGCUUUCGUGACUUCCUGCUGAAGCCAGAGUUGCUCCGGGCCAUUGUCGACUGUGGCUUUGAGCAUCCAUCAGAAGUCCAGCAUGAGUGCAUCCCUCAGGCCAUUCUGGGAAUGGAUGUCCUGUGCCAGGCCAAGUCAGGCAUGGGGAAGACAGCGGUGUUUGUGCUGGCCACACUGCAGCAGCUGGAGCCAGUUACUGGACAGGUGUCUGUGCUGGUGAUGUGUCACACUCGGGAGUUGGCAUUUCAGAUCAGCAAGGAGUAUGAGCGCUUCUCUAAAUACAUGCCCAAUGUCAAGGUCGCGGUGUUUUUUGGUGGUCUGUCUAUCAAGAAGGAUGAAGAGGUGCUGAAGAAGAACUGCCCGCAUAUUGUUGUGGGGACCCCUGGCCGCAUCCUCGCCCUGGCUCGAAAUAAGAGCCUCAAUCUCAAACACAUUAAACACUUUAUCUUGGAUGAAUGUGAUAAGAUGCUUGAACAGCUCGACAUGCGUCGGGAUGUCCAGGAAAUUUUUCGCAUGACCCCCCAUGAGAAGCAGGUCAUGAUGUUCAGUGCUACCUUGAGCAAAGAGAUCCGUCCUGUCUGCCGCAAGUUCAUGCAAGACCCAAUGGAGAUCUUCGUGGAUGAUGAGACGAAGCUGACGCUGCAUGGGUUGCAGCAGUACUACGUGAAACUGAAGGACAACGAGAAGAACCGGAAGCUCUUUGACCUUCUCGAUGUCCUUGAGUUCAAUCAGGUGGUGAUCUUUGUGAAGUCUGUGCAGCGUUGCAUUGCCCUGGCCCAGCUUCUAGUGGAGCAGAACUUCCCAGCCAUUGCCAUCCACCGAGGGAUGCCCCAGGAGGAGAGGCUUUCUCGGUAUCAGCAGUUUAAAGAUUUUCAACGACGAAUUCUUGUGGCUACCAACCUAUUUGGCCGAGGCAUGGAUAUUGAGCGGGUGAACAUUGCCUUCAAUUAUGACAUGCCUGAGGAUUCUGACACCUACCUGCAUAGGGUAAGCUCCACUCCCAUGUGGGCAUCCCAGUGUCCCAUCUUGCUCCCUGAUUUUCUGUCUUCAUACCUAAUUGUCUCACCCGUCCUUUUGCGAAUCUUCCUACUUGGGAGUCGUCCCAGUGCUACCCUCUGUCUCCUUCCAGGUGGCCCGAGCAGGUCGGUUUGGCACUAAGGGCUUGGCCAUCACGUUUGUGUCAGAUGAAAAUGAUGCCAAGAUCCUCAAUGAUGUGCAGGAUCGAUUUGAAGUCAAUAUUAGUGAGCUGCCCGAUGAGAUAGACAUUUCCUCUUACAUUGAACAGACGCGGUAGAGGACUCACCAACCUAUUUGGAAUGUGACAGUCUGUCCCUGUUCAGGAGAUGACAGCGGGCAUGGGGUGAAGGAGACACUACUGCCACCUACCCCUGAUAACCCCCACCCCCACCCCAUGGCUUCCCCCUUUUGCAUCACCACCACUCCUAAACCCCUGUUUCCGGAAUUGUCUGAAUUUUUUUUAACAAAACUAAAAAACACAUGCGUCUGUGGUGUCUGUAA